CACACAUCAGUGUUGGAACAUUCUGCUAAUGUCCCACCCGUGUAAUUCUACAUCGAAGAUAUAGAAGAGAUCUCCCACAAACGUAACAUUAGUUCUUAGCUAGGACUGAAUAAUUGAGAGAAGCAAGAUAUCUCUAGACAGCAAUUUCUUCCACCUGAGAAUUAUUACUUUGGGAUACGAUAUAACACUCUUGGGAAUUUCUGUC
rnacentral:lncRNA from 1 species